UAGCGAAUGUCUUCAAGUCUAAGUGCGGGAUGCGCUUGGAAGGUGCGAGCCGCCUACCCGGGCUGCCGGCCGCUCUUUGCUGCAGAGUCGCCAGGGCUUUGAAUCAAGCGACCUGAAUCUGGGGCAACAGAAAGAAUCAAAAUCAAAGGACUGCAUGACUGUGCUAUGAAGAACAUUGGAACUCCUGGGUAGAACUAGAUAAGGAGGUAGUAAGAUGGCUCAACAAAGGCACCUAUCACCAAGACUGAUUAACCUGAGUUCAGUCAUCAGCACCCAAAUGGUGGAAGAAAAGAAUCGGCUCCUGUAAGAUGUCCUCUGAUCCUGACCUCCACAUUUUUGCCAAAUUAUAUGUUCAUAUUUGCUUGCUAUCUCUCAAUCAAUAAAUAAAUGGCAUAUUUUUCAAUUAAAAAAAUAA